rnacentral:rRNA from 1 species
AUGCAGAGUCGUUUUUUCACAUCCAAUUUGUACAAUUGCAGAAACAAUCAAUCCUCUCUGCUUGAAGGUAGGUUAUGCACACAGAUUUGUUCUUACCUUGCAAGUAUCGAUAAGGCUUGGUCUAGUUUUAAGAAGAAAGGGAAGAAGACCCUAUUAUCAGAGUUCUCACAGAACAAAUAUGUGACCUGGAACCCACGGCGCAUUGAGUAUCCAUUGUCAGAAGAAGUCGAUCCAAUCAAAAGAGCUGAGAGGUCUAACUUGACGUUGUGA